rnacentral:rRNA from 1 species
UACGGAGGGGGGCUAGCGUUAUUCGGAUUUACUGGGCGUAAAGCGCACGUAGGCGGAUCAGAAAGUUAGGGGUGAAAUCCCGGGGCUCAACCUCGGAACUGCCUCUAAAACUCCUGGUCUUGAGGUCGAGAGAGGUGAGUGGAAUUCCGAGUGUAGAGGUGAAAUUCGUAGAUAUUCGGAGGAACACCAGUGGCGAAGGUGGCUCACUGGCUCGAUACUGACGCUGAGGUGCGAAAGCGUGGGGAGCAAACAGG